rnacentral:rRNA from 1 species
UGGGGAAUAUUGCACAAUGGGCGCAAGCCUGAUGCAGCAACGCCGCGUGAGGGACGACGGCCUUCGGGUUGUAAACCUCUUUUAGUAGGGAAGAAGCGAAAGUGACGGUACCUGCAGAAAAAGCACCGGCUAACUACGUGCCAGCAGCCGCGGUAAUACGUAGGGUGCGAGCGUUGUCCGGAAUUAUUGGGCGUAAAGAGCUCGUAGGCGGUCUGUCGCGUCUGCUGUGAAAACCCGAGGCUCAACCUCGGGCCCUGCAGUGGGUACGGGCAGACUAGAGUGCGGUAGGGGAGAAUGGAAUUCCUGGUGUAGCGGUGGAAUGCGCAGAUAUCAGGAGGAACACCGAUGGCGAAGGCAGUUCUCUGGGCCGUAACUGACGCUGAGGAGCGAAAGCGUGGGGAGCGAACAGGAUUAGAUACCCUGGGUAGUCCACGCCGUAAACGUUGGGCGCUAGAUGUGGGGACCAUUCCACGGUUUCCGUGUCGCAGCUAACGCAUAAGCGCCCGCCUGGGGAGUACGGUCGCAAGA